UCAGUUUCAUUUGUUGAGACAUUAGUGCUACAUUAGGAAGAAAAGGGGGAAAGAGGUGGAAUGGGGAAUGGUGAGUGGGGGUGGGGUCAGGUGGCGAUGUUUCUAUUUUACUUAAUGUAUGUGUGGGGUUUUGUGUCAGCGUCGCUUGUGAAGGUUCUCUUUCCUAUUCGCUUGUGUUCCUUUAGUGGUGAGAGAGGUUGGGGUUGGCCUAGGGUCUGGUUGUUCAUUUGUGAUUGGCUGUGGUGAUCUUUGUUUUCAUGUGUGAGUGGAGUGGGUGGAUGUUUUGGAUCAGGUUAGCCAUAUUGAUUCAUAUGCUGUUGGUGGAUUCUUGUCAUUGUCUUGUUGGGCUGUGUAUGUGAUAAAGGGGAGCCAUACUGGUGUGAAGGUGUCUUCUUCUAUUUGUCCCCGUGUCAAUUUCAGUUUAUUGGUUAAUUUUUCUAGUAAGGCUGUUUCCCAUACUGUUUGGUACUGUCGUUCCAUGUUUACUCCUGACAGGUUUCUCCAGUGUCUCGUUAUGGUGUUUCUGGUUGCUGAGAGUAUGUGGGUUAUAAGUUUUUUGUGAUGUGAGUGGGCAUUAUUGUUUUGGAAGAUGUUUAAUAGGGCCAGUUCUGGGGUUAUUUCUAAUACAGUACUUGCUUAAUUAUUUUGCAUAUUUCUUUUAUGGCUGUUGUCCAGAAUAGUUGGAUUUUGGGGUAUUCCCACCACAUGUGGAAGUAUGUGCCUGUGGAGGUGUACCCUCUCCAGCAUUUUGUUGAGGUUCUUGGGUGUAUUAGAGCUAAUUUCCUUGGUGUUAGGUACCACCUGUAGGUGAGUUUUAGAGUGAAUUCUUUCCUUUUCAUUGAUAUGGAUUUAAAGGGGGUUUAGACCACAUUCUGGUCCACUGAGUGGGGUUAAUCUCAUAGCCUAUGUCGUCCUCCCAUUGUUUUUUGAUUAUGUCUAGGGGGUU